CUGGCAUGCACUUCUUUUUAUCCUAAAUUGAAGCAGCACUUUUUCGUAUAAACAUCCUUUUGCUUGACAGUAGAAAUGAUGAACAGAGUUGUCUGCUUCUAAGGAUUCCUAUAUAAGCUCUAAAGACCUCAAUGCCGGUGAACCUCAGCAUGGAUGGGCUCUACCUGGUAUGCUGUGUCCUGACUAGAGGUCUGUCUGAUGCCGCACAACUUUUGGAGCACGACCUUAGAGCAAGAGCCAGCGACGCUCAGCCAGUGCUGAGCUCUACGUACAAGGAUCAGCCAGCAACACCAGCGCUGCGGAGUGGAGUGGAUAUUGUCUGUCUUCAACCCACCCUUCCGCCACACAUGUGGGGGUCUCUCCAGCAGAGCUGUGGAUUUGCACAGGUGGCAAAGUAGAUCUUAUAAACACCUUGGAAAAACAUAAAAUUCACAGAUCUCUCCAUAUCCUCUCGUUUUGAUGUGGUAGAAGCUGAAAAUACAUGUACUGUUCCAGUAUGAAGUAAGUAAUAAACUGUAAGCUCUUUGUGCUGAAAAUGCA
rnacentral:lncRNA from 1 species